rnacentral:tRNA from 1 species
UUUUAAUAGCUUAUAAAGAGUAUAAUAUUGAAGAUAUUAUGGAGAAACUGUUUCUUAAAAUAU